rnacentral:misc_RNA from 1 species
GGGGGGGGGGAGUCCAACGAAUUUAGUGACUAAAAUUCCAUUAUGCAUCAUCUGAUUUUAUAUGUAAUGAACAAAAUUUGAAACCCUGGCAACAGCUUCUUUAAUGAGUAAGAUACCCGGUUCAGCCUUCAGCAUACUUGGCCAUUUACUCAGCCAGGAGAAUGGAGAGACUGCACAUGUUGUGUCACCAAAUCCAUAGGUAUGAUACCCAAGAAUAUUCUCCUCAUCAAAAAGCCCAGUGCAAUCCUAGGUUAUCUGACAGUCCCAUUAAUAUUUUAAUUUAUUGCAGUCCCAACAGUUUUCUCAACAAUAUAGCCAUGCUGCUCUCAAACAAGUGCAUGCCUUUGCCACUUUUUCUCUUUUUUCCUUAUACCAUAACAAGUGAAUUGGCCUUUCUAUGUCACUUGAAAGUAAUUUUCCAAACUCACGCCACAAAUAUUUUUCUUUUUUGGCUCUUAUGGAGACCCUACAGCCUUAGAUUCUCAAACCAGCUCCUUGAAGUGCCCUAAUUCGGUAUCUUUCAUACCGGAUUUGUGGGAAAUGGGUGCAGGUGGGAGAGAGGGAAAAAGGAUAACAACUGAUUUAUGGCUUAUUUCUGCUACAAAAGAUAAAAGGCAUAAAUAUCACCCUAAAUAGGCCUGUGCUGGCAGAAUAACAGAACUAACCAACCUUGUAAACCCAACCCACCACAAUCCAAAAAGCUGGUUUCUUCUUUAUUUGCUCGUGCUGCAAAUUCUAAAUUCUUACAGGUUCAUAUAUUGAUAUAAAGAACAGUUCAUACCCACCGAAACAGAAUAGUUGUAGAACACAGCAGAUUAAAAACUAACCAUCAGACCAGACAAAUGACAAAACACAGAUGGG